rnacentral:rRNA from 1 species
GAGUUUGAUCCUGGCUCAGAACGAACGCUGGCGGCGUGGAUAAGACAUGCAAGUCGAACGGGAGAAUUGCUAGCUUGCUAAUAAUUCUCUAGUGGCGCACGGGUGAGUAACACGUGAGUAACCUGCCCCCGAGAGCGGGAUAGCCCUGGGAAACUGGGAUUAAUACCGCAUAGUAUCGAAAGAUUAAAGCAGCAAUGCGCUUGGGGAUGGGCUCGCGGCCUAUUAGUUAGUUGGUGAGGUAACGGCUCACCAAGGCGAUGACGGGUAGGCCGGUCUGAGAGGAUGUCCGGCCACACUGGAACUGAGACACGGUCCAGACACCUACGGGUGGCAGCAGUCGAGAAUCAUUCACAAUGGGGGAAACCCGUGAUGGUGCGACGCCGCGUGGGGGAAUGAAGGUCUUCGGAUUGUAAACCCCUGUCAUGUGGGAGCAAAAUUAAAAAGAUAGUACCACGAGAGGAAGAGACGGCUAACUCUGUGCCAGCAGCCGCCGCCGU